UACAGAGGGGGCGAGCGUUGUUCGGAAUUACUGGGCGUAAAGGGCGCGUAGGCGGCCUUCUAAGUCGAACGUGAAAUCCCUGGGCUCAACCCAGGAACUGCGUCCGAUACUGGAAGGCUUGAAUCCGGGAGAGGGAUGCGGAAUUCCAGGUGUAGCGGUGAAAUGCGCAGAUAUCAGGAGGAACACCAAUUGCGAAGGCAGCUCGCUGGGACGUUACUGACGCUGAGACGCGAAAGCGUGGGGAGCAAACAGG
rnacentral:rRNA from 1 species